rnacentral:sRNA from 1 species
CACCGCCUGGGGAGUACGACCGCAAGGUUAAAACUCAAAUGAAUUGACGGGGACCCGCACAAGUAGUGGAGCAUGUGGUUUAAUUCGAAGAUACGCGCAGAACCUUACCAACACUUGACAUGUUCGUCGCGACUUUAAGAGAUUAAAGUUUUCGGUUCGGCCGGACGAAACACAGGUGCUGCAUGGCUGUCGUCAGCUCGUGUCGUGAGAUGUUGGGUUAAGUCCCGCAACGAGCGCAACCCUCACUUUUAGUUGCCAUCAUUAAGUUGGGCACUCUGAAAGAACUGCCAGUGAUAAGCUGGAGGAAGGUGGGGAUGACGUCAAGUCCUCAUGGCCCUUACGUGUUGGGCUACACACGUGCUACAAUGGUAUCUACAACAGGAAGCAAAACUGCGAAGUUAAGCAAAUCCUUAAAAGAUACCUCAGUUCGGAUUGCACUCUGCAACUCGAGUGCAUGAAGCUGGAAUUACUAGUAAUCGUGGAUCAGCGUGCCACGGUGAAUGCGUUCCCGGGUCUUGUACACACCGCCCGUCACACCAUGGGAGUUGGUUCUACCUUAAGGCAAGGUUUAAUACCCUUGACCACGGUAUAGUCAGCGACUGGGGUGAAGUCGUAACAAGGUAGCCGUAGGGGAACCUGCGGCUGGAUUACCUCCUUUCUAAGGAUGAAUGAAAGUAAAAUUUCAUUCUAAAUAAUAUACAGGUAAUGUUGACCGUCCUCAUUUCUCUUCUUAAGAUUUAGUGUUUCUCUUGCAUGGGGGCCGGUAGCUCAGUUGGUUAGAGCACACCCUUGAUAAGGGUGGGGUCGAAAGUUCGAGUCUUUCUCGGCCCACCAAUUUAAAGAUCAUGGGGGAUUAGCUCAGCUGGGAGAGCGCCUGAUUUGCAUUCAGGAGGUCAGCGGUUCGAUCCCGCUAUCCUCCACCAAAACACUUAGUUAUAAAAAUUGUGAAUAAAUAAUAAUUAAUAUCAAUAUCUAUAUCCGAACAUUAAUAAUGUUAUUAGUUAAUGUUCAAAAAAAAAUUUGAUUCUACACAGAAUUUUUUUCUG